ACGUGAGGCCACCGCCCAAUGGUGGCGCGCGCUCGGUCCUGCCGGCGGCUGGUGCCCCAGGAGCCGGGAGAGGUGGCAGCGGGCACCAUGGCCGAGAGGCUACAGUCCCCAGGCGGCGCCGUGUGCCCAGCCUCCUACCCCGACACCCCCGCGGAGUUCCCCCCGCACUUCCAGGCCGGCGCGAUGCGACGCCGCUUCUGGGGCGUGUUCAACUGCCUGUGCGCCGGCGCGUUUGGGGCGCUGGCCGCCGCCUCCGCCAAGCUGGCCUUCGGCAGCGAGGUGAACAUGGUCUUCUGCAUCUUCGGCAUUAUCGUGAUGGCCACCACCAAUUCUCUCAUGUGGACGUUCUUUAGCCGGGGCCUCAGUUUCUCCAUGUCUUCGGCCAUUGCAUCUGUCACGGUGACUUUUUCAAACAUCCUCAGCUCGGUGUAUGUAUCCUGUGACCCAGCAGUUGACUUUGGAAGAUUUAUGUCACAGAUGUUGUCACCCGCAAGUGCAAAGACGUGUGCGAGGAAGUGACGUAUGAGGUCUGGAACAACUUCAAGGCCCACCCAGAGGCAGCAGUGGCCGCUGAAGAGAAUGACAUCUACUUGGAUGGUUAAGAAAUCAACUCCAAGAAGCGAGGCACCAGGGCGUUCCACAGGCAGGAGGCUGCCCAGCACACCUGGAAGAGGGAUUUGCUUUGUUUUGCAGGAACUAGAAUCGUCCAUUGGGAUUUCUGAAAGCAAUAAUAACAAAAGAGGAACUCAAGUGGCUUUGCCCUUUCUCUGGUUUCCAUAAAGUGGAAGAAUGUCCAGCCGGGACGCAUCAGGGUUUGGGAGAGAUGCGGGCCACUCCCAGUUAAUUUCCAAAAUAGAAGAUGCCCAAAUAGGUAUAAACAUUUUAACGAUCACCAUUUCACGGAGGAGGAAACUGAGGCACAGAACGUGAGCAUCUGUCCCAGGUCACACAGUGAGUGUGUGCACAGGCCCUCCUGGGCGCCCUGCCCGUCUGGACAGGCCACGCCCUCCAUGUGUUCUGCGAUGCUCUGGGGAGCCACACUGGGCGGGGGUGCCAGGCUGGGCUGGCAACCCCUUGUGCCACUGGGGUGGACGCUGAUGCCCACCCCUCACGCGUGCGUCAGAUGGAUGUGCUCGCCAGGAAUUGGUCCGGGAGCUACCAGAGGCGCCUGGCUGGUACCUGUGGGCGGGCAGUGCCCUAGGCUUUACCCGGUGUUCUCCGGGACCCUGAGCACAGGUCGGCAGGAUACCAGGAGGGAGAGGGGAGAGGCCCCGGGAGUGGGGCUCCCAGCACCCCCAGUCGCUGCUCACCCCGCCUGGCAUUUCUGUGCUAAGAGCGUGGGGUCCCCACCCCAGCACGCACUGAAUCCACCUAUGAUCCAGCCCACGACGUGAGAAGAACCUCAGAGUGGACACUCACCGGAGCGAGAUGAGAGAAACUGCAGACCCUGUCGGGUAGGGGCCCGCCCCCUCCCUCCCUUUCCUCCCUCUCCCAGGAAUUUUCCAGCACAAACCCAGUCUCCAGACCCUCCCCGCCCCCAAGACUCGUGGAGGCCCCAACCGCUCGCAGAGACCGAUCCAAGUUGUACACAGGUGUCCACUGCUCCUGAAAUGCAGUAUUUUUCACAAGCAGAUCAGCUGGAGGUGUGCGUACAGGCAGCGUCCUGGACCGGUGCCCUUGCCCCCAGCGGUGGAGGCUGGGAAUCUGCAUUGAAUGAAGGGACGUGCUCCCCUUUGCAGGAAGGCCUCACGUGGGAACGGCCACGGGUGGGGGCUCCCAGGCCGACUUGUGAAUUUGCCGGAUCUGCUGCUUCGGUUCCAUCUUCUACGCUCCAGCCCCUCUCGGCCAAGCAAGUACCGUUUACUCCAGCACCCCUGGGUCCUCCCCAUCCACUGCUCCCCGGGACUAACGCUGCCUUUGGGACCCUGGGGGCCUCCACCUCAGGGUGCAGAAAGAUCAGGUCAGUCAAGGGGAUUCCAACUUUGAGUAGCCUGGGAGAAGAGCAUUUUAAACAAGGUGCCCCUUGGGGGCCCCUGGGUGGCUCAGUCGGUUAAGCGGCUGACUCUUGAUUUUGGCUCAGGUCUUGAUCUCAAGGUUCGCGAGUUUGAGCCCCGCAUCGGGCUCUG